UACGAAGGGGGCUAGCGUUGCUCGGAAUCACUGGGCGUAAAGCGCACGUAGGCGGAUUGCUAAGUCAGGGGUGAAAUCCUGGAGCUCAACUCCAGAACUGCCUUUGAUACUGAGGAUCUUGAGUUCGGGAGAGGUGAGUGGAACUGCGAGUGUAGAGGUGAAAUUCGUAGAUAUUCGCAAGAACACCAGUGGCGAAGGCGGCUCACUGGCCCGAUACUGACGCUGAGGCACGAAAAGCCGUGGGGGAGCAAACAGG
rnacentral:rRNA from 1 species